rnacentral:rRNA from 1 species
AUCAUUAACUGAAUCCAUAGGUUAAUGAGGCGAACCGGGGGAACUGAAACAUCUAAGUACCCCGAGGAAAAGAAAUCAACCGAGAUUCCCCCAGUAGCGGCGAGCGAACGGGGAGGAGCCCAGAGCCUGAAUCAGCAUGUGUGUUAGUGGAAGCGUCUGGAAAGGCGCGCGAUACAGGGUGACAGCCCCGUACACAAAAGCGCAUGUGCUGUGAGCUCGAUGAGUAGGGCGGGACACGUGGUAUCCUGUCUGAAUAUGGGGGGACCAUCCUCCAAGGCUAAAUACUCCUGACUGACCGAUAGUGAACCAGUACCGUGAGGGAAAGGCGAAAAGAACCCCGGCGAGGGGAGUGAAAAAGAACCUGAAACCGUGUACGUACAAGCAGUGGGAGCACCCUUUGGGUGUGACUGCGUACCUUUUGUAUAAUGGGUCAGCGACUUAUAUUCUGUAGCAAGGUUAACCGAAUAGGGGAGCCGGAGGGAAACCGAGUCUUAACCGGGCGUUAAGUUGCAGGGUAUAGACCCGAAACCCGGUGAUCUAGCCAUGGGCAGGUUGAAGGUUGGGUAACACUAACUGGAGGACCGAACCGACUAAUGUUGAAAAAUUAGCGGAUGACCUGUGGCUGGGGGUGAAAGGCCAAUCAAACCGGGAGAUAGCUGGUUCUCCCCGAAAGCUAUUUAGGUAGCGCCUCGUGAAUUCAUCUCCGGGGGUAGAGCACUGUUUCGGCUAGGGGGCCAUCCCGGCUUACCAACCCGAUGCAAACUGCGAAUACCGGAGAAUGUUAUCACGGGAGACACACGGCGGGUGCUAACGUCCGUCGUGAAGAGGGAAACAACCCAGACCGCCAGCUAAGGUCCCAAAGUCAUGGUUAAGUGGGAAACGAUGUGGGAAGGCCCAGACAGCCAGGAUGUUGGCUUAGAAGCAGCCAUCAUUUAAAGAAAGCGUAAUAGCUCACUGGUCGAGUCGGCCUGCGCGGAAGAUGUAACGGGGCUAAACCAUGCACCGAA